CCCGCUGAACUUAAGCAUAUCAAUAAGGCGAGGAACAGAAACCAACCGGGAUUCCCCCAGUAGUGGCGAAUGAAGCGGGAAAAGCUCAAGUUUGAAAUCUGGCUUUUGUCAGAGUUGUAAGCUGAAGAGGCUUCGACCGAUGUGGCUCGGGCUCAAUUCCCUUGGGAUAGGGAGUCAUGGAGGGUGAGAACCCCGUACAUGGCCUGGCAGCCUUCAUCCUUGUGUCGUUUCCUCAAAGAGUCGGGUUGUUUGGGAAUGCAGCUCAAAAUGGGUGGUAAAUUUCAUCUAAAGCUAAAUAUUGGCGAGAGACCGAUAGCAAACAAGUAGAGUAAUCGAAAGAUGAAAAGUACUUUGAAAAGAGAGUGAAACAGUGCGUGAAAUUGUUGAAAGGGAACCGUUUGGUAUCAGCCCAUGGCCGCCUUUGAUCAUCCAGGCUUCUGCCCGGUGCACUCGGAGGCGGUCGGGCCAGCGUCGACUUUGCCCGCUGGAGAAAGGCACGAGGAAUGUGGCUCCUCACGGAGUGUUAUAGCCUCGGGCGUCAUGCAGCGCGGUGGGGUCGAGGUCUGCGGUCUUCCUAGGACGCUGGCGUAAUGGUCCCAAGCGACCCGUCUUGAAACACGG
rnacentral:rRNA from 1 species